UCACUCACCUGAUAUUUUUGGUUCUUAUGAAGGUGCUUUUUGCAUGGAUAAUUGUUUGAUUUUAUGUUCCUGCAGAGGAUGAGGGAGGGAAUUUCUGAAGGGUUCUAGUUGGCCAUCUUGCUCCACCUCCUUCAGUAGGAGUCUUACCUUUGUAGCUUGGUCUUCCCAAUAAUUUUCUAUGGACUUUUAAUAAUUAUGUCAAAAAUUAAUUUACCAAAAUAAUUUUAAAGGAAUAACAUGACAAUUUUAAGUGAUAAUGCAUAUUCAACCUAAACUAAGCCAAACUAAAAAUUGGGAAAAAGUUAUUAAAAAAUUGCAUCUAGCAAUUUUCACAUGAUUUUAAUGAAAGCAAUAAGUUAUUUGAAAUAGAAAUCAUUACCAUUAAUAUUCCAUAUAGAUUAUUUAAACAACUUUUCUACAUAUGUUGAGAGGGAAAUAAAAAUUGAGACAAAAUUUUGUAGAUGAGAAAGAAAAAGACAACAUAAUUUCUAAGUAAUAUGCUUGGAUAAAUGCUAUUUUAAAAUAGCAGCUAGUAAUUUUAAUUUGACAUGAAUAUAAUGAAAAAUGCAACUAAGGUGAAUGAAAAAAUUGUAGGACUUCAUAUUGUCUUCAUCAUAUCAGGUAAUAGGUAUCAAAAUGUCCCUCUAGAUUAAAAAAAAAAUUAAACUAUCAGUAACUUGUAUUCAGCAUAGAUUUAUUUAAAUUACAUAUUUUAAUUUCCGUAAUCAUCAUUAAUUAACUCCUCUGAAAGAUGAUAUAAUUAAGAACCUCUAUUUCUCUUUUCUUCUGAGUUUGUUGCUUUUAUAAUAUUUAAUUUGUGAUGGUUUAUUAUAUAUCUGUUCUACUCUGCAAUAAUAAUUACUUCAGUUGUAUUAUCUUAGGUCAUACUUAAAUGAAGUAAGUGUUCAGCCACCUGUUAUAUAACCAUGGUUUCCUAAUUUCUCUAUUCUUUAUUAUAAUUUAUCUCUUCAUUGGUUGCAUUUAAUCUUCAAGUAGGGUUUAAGUUUCAUUGUUAUAAAAUUUCAUUAAACCUGUUAUUUAAUGUAUAGAAAUGCCUUUCUGUUGUAUUUACAACUGAAGAGCAAUUUGCUAUAUAUAAAAUGGAGACUUUGUUACAUUGUUUAUUCUGAGGCCAAUCAGAUUUCCCACUUGUUAUGUAACUUGCUUAUCUUGAUUUUUCCAGACUCAUCAAUUUCUGAAUGCUUUUAUUUUUGAAAUUUAAUAACUAAAUGUUUUAUAGUAUUAGCUUUUUAUUAACUUUUCUUGGCAUGUGCCCUAUUAACUGAAAUAUUUAGUCAUUCAUUUACUUUAGGUAAGUUUCCCUCUUUUAUAUCUCUCAUUAUUUUCUGUUCUAUUUGUUGGUGUCUUUACUUCAGCAGUAUCAAUAGCCUUAUGGUGGAUGCACUAUAGUUUAUAUACCUAUCGUCUAAUUAUUUAAACCUGUUGUCUAUUUUUAUUCACUAUAACUAAAUAAAUCAUUAUCUCCAUGAUGACUUCUGUUUCCUGCUGCUUCUAAUUUAUUUUAUCUAUACUGUUUGUUUUGUAUCAGUUUUUUCUUUUUCUCAUAAUUCUGAUCUUUUAUUACAUUAUUGUGUUUUCCUUGUUUUACUAAAUCUAUGUCCUUAUUGGAUUAUUCAAUAAAUGCAAAACACCAGCAAAGGAAUUUUAGUUCCUUGGAUUGUAUAUUCUUUCAAAUUGGAUUAUGUUUUAAAAUCAAUGCCUUUCUCCAUUUAUAUAUUAAUAUGUUUUUAUUUGGGGGCUGUAAUAUAUUUUCAUCACUCUCAAUUUUUUUCCUCUUGUACCUUUGUUAAUAUAUUUACUAGGAAAUGGUGUAUGUGGUUUCUCCUUGACAUCACUCUUACCUUAUCUGGGAUUAUUUAUCUUCCCCCUGUGUACUAGAAGGUACAGAGAACAGACAGAAGAGAGUGGGAAGCACAGCUGGGACUGAUUGCAGUCUUUGAGGAGGUCCUGGGUUUACUCUUCUUGCUGAGAUCCUACCAGAUGUUCUUCAUUGGACUCCAUUACACCAAGCUUGGCGUGAAUUCAAGUCUUUUGGGCUUUGGCUCACUUCCCUAAUUUAGCACUGUAUGCUGGAGCGAGAGAAUCUAUGGCCCUUCCUGCUUCUGCCAAGGUCCAGAUGUGAUUUGUAGAGCAUCCACUAAGUGUUUUUAUCUUGAUUUUCCCAGACCCAUCAAUUCAUCCCUUCAUCCCACUCCUUUCAAGUUACAGAGCAUUCAGAUUCAGGAUUUGUGUCACUUCUUAUAUCCUCAGUGCCUCUUCUGGAGGUAGAAUAAGAGUUGGGAAUUCUGUUGACCUGGCCAUGACACCACAAUUUUCUGUUACUUCACUGGUCAUCAUUUUUGAGUUUAUAAUCCUUCCCCAUUUCUUCCUGCUGAUGGGAAAAUUGGCAGGGUUGUUUUUGUUUUGCUUUUGUUUAUUGGAGGAGGAAGAUUCUGUACCAUAACUUCAUAGCACCACCAGCCCGCAGAUAAAUAACUAUUUUCAAAUGUAUUUGUGAGAUAUGCACCUUAAGAGAUUAGAGCAAAAAUACUAAUGUUUAAAAAUAAGCAAGCAAGUGCAUGAAACACCUAACUUCAACGGCUUGGACUAUCAAAUAUUAACACUUAUCAAUCAACAUUUAGUGUCCAUUUUGUACAAAAUACUAGGCCUGGUGCUAUGAGAGACAUAAAGGUGCAUAAGUAGGGACAGGAAAAUGAAAAGAGGCAAAUAUGCUUAGACAAUUGUAUAAGGUAGAAUUAAUUACUUCCAAUAACAAAUCACAGACAAAAUGUAAAGGUGAGUUAAAGGGGGGAGACAGUAUAUCCAGUUAAGGGAAUAUCAAAAUGCAUAAUGAAAAACAUGACAUUUAUAAUGUAUUCCAAAGAUGGGAUGAGGGCAGGUACAUUUAAAGAAAAGAAAGUAACAGGAUAAGCAUUAGAUAUGAAGGUAGAAGAGCAUAGAGUGUAGCUAGAAAAGAGCAAGCUAUAUAAUAUGCAAAUAAUUUUACACACAUUGGAGCAGUGAAAAAAGCUGAAAGUGGGGCAUGUAGAUGUAGUGUACUUAACUGAAUGUCGGAGUGACUUAACUCUAUAAGGUAACGGAGAAUAAAAACCACAAGUAGUUAAUAAGCAAGAGUACAACAUGAAUAGGCUAGUGAGGAUAAACAUUAAUCCGGCAGCAGGAUAGAGGUUGAAUCCUGGGAAAGUGGAAAAAAUGCUACACUGGGUGGCAUGAGAUUUAGUCUCUUGGUCCAGCUUUGCCACACUACCCAUACGUGUGAAAUUAAAUGAAUCAUUUGACCCCUUUUGGUCCCAUUGAGCUCUCUGUAAAGUAAAGAUGGUGAACUUGGCUUCUAAUAAAUAUUUAUUCUAGCUCUCAAAUAGCAUAGGUCUAUAUAUUAUAGUGAUGAAACAUGGGAAAUAUGGAAACUCUUUAGUAUAUAGCAUACGUUUGGCAAAAAAUAAAUGGAAAAAUAAAUUACGAUUGAAGUGUUUACAGAAAAAAUAUUUUAUAUGCAAGGGAAUUUACAAAGGUAGAGUCAAGAAGUCAAAGAAAUUGUAUGAGAAGAUGACUGCAAGUUUCUGAUUUGGGCUUAUUAGGAGAAUACAGAUGACUUUCAGAAGAAGCGUGAACAUCAAGCUGAGGAGCUUUGUUGAAGAGCAGGAUCUUUCUGUCAACAUGGGAUAGUGGAAGAUUAAAGUAGUGAUGACUACAUAUAGAAAUACAAAGUUGACAGUGAGAGACGCCAAGUCUGAUACUGCAAAAGAAAAAUGUAAGAAACUUAGGACUCAACUUUAUCAAUGAGUUCGUUCAACUGUAGAAAUGCACUAGGGACUGAAUGGUGUCCCCCCAAAAUUUAUAUGUCAAAGCUCUAAUCCUCAAUAUGAUGAUCUCCAGAGAUGGAACUUUGGGGAGGUAACUGGGUUUAGAUGAGGUUAUAAGGAUGGAGUCCUCAUGAAGGGAUUAGUGCCCUUAUAAGGAAGGGCCAGAGAGUGCCCACUUGUUCACAUAUGCUCUUGUAUUCUCUCUCUCCUCAACCCCCACCAUAUGAGGACACAACAAGAAGAUGGUUGUCUACAAGCCAGGAAGAGAGCCUUCACAAGGAACCAAAUCAGCGGGCACCCUGAUCAUGAGACUCCCAGCCUCCAGAACUGUGAGAAAUAAAUGUUUGCUGUUGAAGCCAUCCAGUCCACAGUAUUUCGUUACAGCAGCCUGAGCAGAUUAAAAUAAAGAACUGUAACUUGUGAGACAGACAGAAAGAUGUUUCAUAACCAACUCCUUUGGAAAGAAAAAAAGUAGCACAUCAGCAAUUUUCAAGCACAUUAGGAUUUGAACAGCUAAAUGACAGUAUCUCCUGGAGGAAAGGUUUUCUACUCACAGAACCUGAGAUGAGAAUCAUCUGUCCCAGUUUUACAAAUUAAAAAGGAAAAAGAAACUCCAGUGCCUUUUCUGCCAGUAUUUUUCUGAUGUUGAAAUUCUGAUACAAAUAUUCAAGUUCAAUGCAAUCCCAUUAUGAGCAUGUGUAUGUGUAUGAAUGAAUAUGUAUACAUAUAUAUGAUAGACUCCUGACAAUCAAAAUAAUGUUUUACAGGCGAGAAUUCUUUAAAUUAGAAAGCUACUAAAAUGCAUUUAACUUGCUUUGUGAGAAAGCUAACCCUUUGUCUGUAACUCCCAACCCUGGUUGCAAAAUGCAAUGACCUAGGCUGACUUUUUUUUUAAUCCUAUAUCUAGAAGUUUCUCAUUCUGAUUUAAUUGGUCUGGGAUGGGACCCAGACUACACUGGGAUAUUUAAAAAGUUUCUCAGGUGAUUUUAACACGUGCAAAGUUGAGAAAUAAUGCCCUACACCAGUGAUUAGUGGCACAUGGCCUUGAUAGUACAUUACAGUCACCUGGGGGAGCUUUAAAAAAUACCGAUUCCCAGGGCAUACACCUGAUUUAUUAAAUAAUAAGAGGGGAGAACCACAGUCACCAAUAUUUUUAAAACUCCCCAGCAUGAGCUACCUGGGUUGAGAGACACUGCCUGUGCUCUGCCAGUGAUAUAAUGAUUACGAUGUACAUUGGCAUCAAAUGAUUCAUUAUGCCACCUUAUAUCUCAACUCACUGCAGCUGGGACUCAUAUUAGACACCGCGUCUUUGUUUCACAUAUAGAAUUAACAAAAUUAAUUUCAGGUUCUAUCAUACCUUUACUAAGAUGAACAUUGUGUCAGUGAUCAGAGAAUUGCCUCUAGUGUUUCUGACAUAUUUGCUUUCACAAUAUUUUGAGAACUAAUAGACUACUCUGAGCAAAUAUUAACAUCAUUCCAUUAAAUUUCGUCCUGGAAUUGACUGUGGGCAAUUCAUGAUUUCACGAGCAUUGGGGUCUCUAUUCCUUUGCCGGAAAUUUUGAUACCACUGAUAUGUGUUACAUUUUAGGCACAUUUAACUGUGCAGCUGGUGUUGGGUUAGACUAUAACCUUCAUGCUCAUGACUCUUUAAUAUCUGCUAAUUUCAGAAGAUCUUUUGAAUAUCAUAGGGAAGUGUAGGUCCCUUUUACUUAUCACCAUUUUUCUAAAGCUCAUCACGCUCCAACAUUAGAGAAGUUUCAAGGAAGCUUGAAAUUAAUAUUGACACCUUGACAUGACCUGUCCCCAAAGAAGAACUGUCACGUUUGUGAUCAGCAUCUUUCCUCAAAUAGCAAUGGAAGCAUUGGUCUGGAAUUACUGAGUAAUUUGACUUAGUGAUAACUAUGGUAGUCUAUAGAUACUAGAGACUGUUAUGCAUUUAUUACAUGAUCUUUGCUUAGAACCAUUUUUACAUGGUCUUUGUUGGCUCUCUUGUAAAUCUGUUUUGGAGCAGGAUCCUCAGGCAGCUGUAUUUGAAAUGAAGCCUUGUUAGAUGAGAAAUCAAAUUCACAAUCCUUCUGUGGUUUUGGUGCAAGAGCUCCAUCUGGAAAUGGACCAGCCCUUACUGCCUCAGCAUAUGUCCCAGGGACUACAUUUUCCCAAUAAUUGAACACUUUGAUUCCAAAUACAGCACAGUUUUCUCUCUUCAUGCUGUUAUUCACCUAUCUCUGAGCAUGCAAACUUCAGGAAGCCAAAGUGAGUGUAGAAAGAUAUUUAUAAUGAAGAAAUAAAAAAAUCCGCAUCAUAAUUAAGUGAUGCUGAAAUAUUCUUCUAGUUUGUAUUCUGCCUAGGAGUUUAAAGGGUUUUUACUUAGUUCUGACUUUGGUUACCUGUAAACCAACCAAGUUCCCUCCAUUUCCCCACAGAUUGGCAUUUUAGUGUUACAAACCAUUAUUCAUUGGACUUCAUCAAAAGACAAGGGACCUUUUUCAUUACAAAGCUCCUGGGUGGAAUAAAAUGGCUUACAUUUUUGAAGGGAAAAGGGGGACAAGAAAUAAGUAUUUUCAUUCUAGAAAACACACACACACACAGACACAAAUACACACACACACACACACACACGCACGCACCUGUAUAUCCACAAUCCAGAUGGCCAUGGUGCCCUGGAUGGGGAAGAAAUAAUCCACUUACUGCUUCUUUUGCUUUUUAUGUGGACUACCAUGAAUGGCCAAUCCUGACCCUCAGGGACUGCUCUUUAAGUGUUCUUAAAAUUGAAAUAGAAUUGGAAGUGUCAGUUUCUGGAAUAUGUCCAUGGCACCACAGGUGGAAACACAAUGGUUAAACUAGAAUGGACAGGAACUAAGGAGUCAGUCAACUUUGACCUGGAUUGGCAUCCAAUAUGGAGGAUUUCUAUAAUAAUAACAGGACACAGUUCUCUUUAGGCUUCCCUUUAUCCUUAUCUCUGAUAUAUUAGAUUAUUACAUAUUCUCUGUUUUUAACUGAAACAGCCUGCUGCUAAAGCCUUCAGACUACUCUAAUUCUGGAAGCCUAAUUUCAGACUACUCUGCCUCCUCCCAGAGGGAAUGAAAGCCAGGGAGAGAUUCUAAAGCCAUAAUCCUGAAAGCAUAGUUCUGCUUGCAGAUCUAGGGCUUUAAUUUAAAAGAAUGACUCAAAAGGUCAUUUCUAGGCUCAUGCAUCUCAAAAGUCAAUGUUGAUGAAUAUUAUCUCAGACACUUGUAAGAAAUGCAUACUUUCAAGCCCCUUUUUUUCUGAUUUGGAAGUUCUGAGUUCAGGUUUGGGGCCAGGGGAUCUGAUAUUUCACUGCAUAUGAUCCUGAUGUAGUCGUUCUGUGGAAUACACAAUAAGAGUCACUAAACUAAACUACAAGAGACUUGGGAACACAGAAAUAGGAAGUUUCUUAGAUUUUUCUUGAGAUGUGGAUUUUAAGGUAUAUUUGUUAUAUUUUCUCUCAGUUUAUUUUAAAUACCAGGUAACCCUGAGACACUCUGAAGCCUGAAAGUCAUAUAAAGUUACGUCUAAUUUAGUGUGCCUGAGUACAUAAAUUGGUUCAGAUUAGCUAAUGAGGACACAUUCAUUCAUUUGGCAAAUAAUAGUUAAACUUUUUUUUUUUUUUUUU